CUAAGGCCAGCGAGAGAACUGUUGUUAAGGAACUCGGCAAAAUGACCCCGUAACUUAGGGAUAAGGGGUGCCACCAUCAGGUGGCCGCAGAGAAUAGGCCCAAGCGACUGUUUACCAAAAACAUAGGUUUCUGCUAAGUCACAAGACGAUGUAUAGGAGCUGACGCCUGCCCGGUGCUGGACGGUUAAGAGGCUCUGUUAGAGCAACCGAAGCAGGGAACUUACGCCCCAGUAAACGGCGGCCGUAACUAUAACGGUCCUAAGGGAGCGCACGUCCUUGUCGGGUACGUUACGACCCGCCCGAAAGGAGUAACGAUUUGGGCACUGUCUCAACAACCGACUCG
rnacentral:rRNA from 1 species